rnacentral:rRNA from 1 species
UACGAAGGUGGCAAGCGUUGUUCGGAUUCACUGGGCGUACAGGGUGUGUAGGCGGUUUGGUAAGCCUUCUGUUAAAGCUUCGGGCCCAACCCGGAAAGCGCAGAGGGGACUGCUCGGCUAGAGGAUGGGAGAGGAGCGCGGAAUUCCCGGUGUAGCGGUGAAAUGCGUAGAGAUCGGGAGGAAGGCCGGUGGCGAAGGCGGCGCUCUGGAACAUUUCUGACGCUGAGGCUCGAAAGCGUGGGGAGCAAACAGG